rnacentral:rRNA from 1 species
UGCCAGCAGCCGCGGUAACACGGGGGGCGCAAGCGUUAUUCGGAAUUAUUGGGCGUAAAGGGCGCGCAGGCGGUCUUGUCCGUCAGGUGUGAAAGCUCGGGGCUCAACCCCGGAAGUGCACUUGAAACAGCAAGACUUGAAUACGGUAGAGGAGAGAGGAAUUCCUGGUGUAGAGGUGAAAUUCGUAGAUAUUAGAAGGAACAUCAGAGGCGAAGGCGGCUUUCUGGUCCGAUACUGACGCUGAGGUACGAAAGUGUGGGGAGCAAACAGGAUUAGAUA